rnacentral:lncRNA from 1 species
GACCCUGCGCUCUGCCCCAAGGGACCCACCAGCCAGGAUGCAGCAGAAGCGACGCUAUGUGACUUCCGAGGCUGAGGCUGCAGAGAUUUGAGGCAUCUGCUCUCACCCAGCUUGAAGUGCUUCCUCUUGGAAGCCAGCCACCGUGAAAAACCCCGCCAUGCUGUGAGGAAGCCCAAGAGAGCUGCAUGGAGAGAAGGGCCUGUGGAAGAGCCCUGAGGUGCCACUCACAUGAAGUGAACAUUUGUGGACCUUCCAGCCCAGCCACCAGCAAAACGCAACCCAGCGAGUGUCCCCAGUCAACGCUUCUCUCUAUAGGAGACCUGUAAAUGGGGUGGCGGGGGGGCGGGAGGAAUUUUCUGAUCUCACACACUGUUAUGGGUUGAAUUGUCUCCCCACCCAAAUUCAUAUGUUGAAGCCCCCACCUUCAGUACUUUACAAAGUAAUGUAUUUGGAGAUAAU